CAACACAAUAGCUCAAAAGACAGUUGUUUUUUUUUUCUCUCUCUCUCCAACCACCUUUCAAGCAUGAACUCCAUUAGGUUCAAUGACUGCACAUUGAGAAGUCACUUUCUUAACGAAUUUAUCUGUUUUGGUAUAAAGAUCAACCACCUUCAAACUACUGCGACGCUUUCCUUGACCAUAGCUCAAUCUUUCACAUUCUUUUCUCUUAAGCUUUAACAUGCUUCGUUCUUUCAUAUUGUUGCAAAUCUCAUCUUCAACUUAUAUGCCUUUUCUUCUUACUUUAACUAUUUAAAUCAUAUAUGCCUGGUAGCUACAACAUUUGUUUAUGAUAUGUUUCCUUAUGUGUACCUAGAAAACACUUUAUAAGCUUCAACCAAACAAUAAAAACACUUAAUAUAAUAAAAAAAUUCAUAAUAUAAUAUACCAAAAUGAAAAAAAAAAAAUAAGAUGUAUUUCAAGAUAUCUUAUUCCUUAUAAAAAAAUCCAACUUAAAACACCCUCUUGUCUCAACUCCUUACACAACCAAAAACACAUGAAUCAAAUAUUCUAAAACAAUCCACUUUAAAAAUAAAUCAUUAAAAACCAUAAAAACAUGCUAAUUUGUAUGUAUUAGAAAAAAUUAAUAUGUAUAGGAACAGGAACUUUGAGUGAAAAAUAUAUAUAAUAUAGAAUUAUUGGUACAUGUGAAUUAAGCUUUGAGAGAAGUGAUUGUGAAAAGCCACAUAUUGAUAUUAUUAUUAUUAUUAUUUGUAAGUAGCCCUUGAAAAAAUAGAAAAGGUGGAGAAGAUUAGGCAUUCGGCGCCUUCAAACCUCACAUCUUUCGUCCGAAUCCCUUUGUCUGCUUUUCCAUUCCCUCGUAUUUCAAUAUUAGGUCAGUCUCAUCUUUUGGUCUGCCAUGUGUUGGUUAAAAAUAAAAAUAAAAAGAAUAAGACAAAUGAAAAUAAAAUAAAAAUAUUAUUUGAAAAAGUUUAUGUGUAGCAUCAUAUUUAUUUAGAUUUUUUGAGAAACUAAAUUUGAUCUCUUUCGUCAUCGAUCGUAUCUUUGGGCACCCAAUGGGAGCUUCUAAACGUGGUUUUUGUCACCAAAAGUCAGGGUCAAGCACAACACCAAACGAGACUUAACAAGCAAACUACGUGCAUGAUUGUCUGAAACCACAUUAAGAAUCCAACCUUCUAUUGUCACAAACAAAAAAGAAAAAAAUAAUUAUUCAAGUAACAUCCUGCUUCUGCACCACGUGAACCUGUUUUUGACAAUUUUUUUAAUCAACCAUUCAAUAAAAUUACUCAUUUCCUUGUCAAACAUCAAAUAUUUUAGCUUAUCGCAUUCUUUAAAAUAUUUUCAUUGCUCAAACAAUUUCAAUAACUAGUUAAAAAAUAUAAUAUUUUUCACUGUAUAAUAAUAACAACAAUAAUAAUAUACCGUCUUUAUUCUUUAGUCCUAUAGAGAGAGAGAGAGGGGGGAUACUUUUAAGUACUUCGUAAAAGUACUUCGUAAAACGAAUAAAACUUGUAUAAUUUUUUUAAAAUAUACUUUUAAAAUUUGAAAACCCUUCUUCUCUUAAUCUUUUUCAUGUCCCUUCGCUGCUUGAACAACGACUUUUAUAUAUAAUUUAUACGAAUAAAUGAAAGAGAC
rnacentral:lncRNA from 1 species